CCAAGGAAGAGUGACUCAAAAAUAAGAAGCAGGCUGAAAAAUGAGAUGAGGAGACCGAGGCUCGGAGAGGCUUAUGCAUUUGCCCAAGACUCUACAACUCCACAACUUAACAGGCAAUUGCAUCUAGCAUAUAAUGUGUUGGUUAUCCCCAGAACACAGAGCAGUGCAUCUCCACAGCGAGAAUUCCAGAACAGGUAGGAAAUUCCUUGUCUUUGGGGUUUUACUUUUGCAUGUUUCCCAGAAGGGGGCAGCAUCUCCCUGAGAUUUCUUCCCUUUGGCGGUACAAUCCUUUCCAGCAGCCUUUAAGGAAGGGCAGAUUCAGAAAUCCGGAGAAUUGCCUCAGUCUCUGCCAUUCAGAUUCACUAGAGGAGUGGGAAUGGGCAAAGGGUGGCCUGUAGACUGGAGAACAAGUGUCUUCAGAAUGACGUGUGCCCACGGUGGUCCAAGA
rnacentral:lncRNA from 1 species